UUGCCAAAAUUGUUGUUUCUUUUCAUAUAUCAUCGGAAAAACGUAAUUAAAAUGAUAGAUCUAUCAGACUUUCAAAGAGGUCAAAUUGUUGUUGCUCAUAUGGCAGGCGAUAUCGUAACGAAAGCAGCCGGAAUGUUUGGUGUAUGAAGAAGUACUGUUUUGAAAGUAAUAACUGUCUUUGAGAAAGAGGGAAAAACCUUAUCAUCGAAAUAAAACUCCAGAAGAAAACCAAGACGUUCAGAUAAGGAGCAUUGGAGACUUACAC